rnacentral:rRNA from 1 species
UGGGGAAUAUUGCACAAUGGGCGCAAGCCUGAUGCAGCCAUGCCGCGUGUGUGAAGAAGGCCUUCGGGUUGUAAAGCACUUUCAGCGAGGAGGAAGGUGGUGGACUUAAUACGUUCAUCAAUUGACGUUACUCGCAGAAGAAGCACCGGCUAACUCCGUGCCAGCAGCCGCGGUAAUACGGAGGGUGCAAGCGUUAAUCGGAAUUACUGGGCGUAAAGCGCACGCAGGCGGUUUGUUAAGUCAGAUGUGAAAUCCCCGGGCUCAACCUGGGAACUGCAUUUGAAACUGGCAAGCUAGAGUCUCGUAGAGGGGGGUAGAAUUCCAGGUGUAGCGGUGAAAUGCGUAGAGAUCUGGAGGAAUACCGGUGGCGAAGGCGGCCCCCUGGACGAAGACUGACGCUCAGGUGCGAAAGCGUGGGGAGCAAAACAGGAUUAGAUACCCUGGUAGUCCACGCUGUAAAACGAUGUCGAUUUUGGAGGUUGUGCCCUUGAGGCGUGGCUUCCGGAGCUAACGCGUUAAAUCGACCGCCUGGGGAGUACGGCC